GGAAACUGUACAAACCAAUGAUGAUGAAGAGGCCAGUAAACGCAGGAUCUGCUGGAUGGAUGUGGCUGCUGGGAGUGUUUCUCUGGCAGUGUCUUAGCUGGUUGUUGUGAGGGAGAGAACGAAGCAAUCAGCAAGUAUACUGCCGCAGAAACUCUUCGCACUACAAGCCCAGGCCCCUGGAAUCAGCAAGUAGGCCAUUGGCCCCCUGGAAUCAGCAAGAAGGCCAUUGGCCCCCUGGAAUCAGCAAGUAGGCCAUUGGCCCCCUGGCUCUCAGAUGUCAUUCCCCCAGAGCGACAGAAGGAAUGAGGAAGAGAAGAGCACUAUUUAUUUUUAGUAUGAUUAUUACCACUGGACUCGUGUGGGAUGAUAGACUGAUGAUGCUUUUGGUAUAUGGUGACAUUGUGUGUAUAACCUGAGUGCGUGCUAUUCUGUUUGAAACCAAUGCAAUCCUGUAGAGCCAUCUUGUGGCUCAAAUGUUAAAUUGAACCAAAUUGGACAUACCGAUAAUGUGUUAAUGUGUAAUUAAGUUAUUAUAGUUAUUGCCGGUUUGUAUCUCUUAAAAUAUAUAUUUGCAAUGCUUUUUGCAAUCACUUGCUCUGGGUUAUUGAAAAUAAACAGAAAAAUAUUGAAAAAUAACUGUCAAUAUAGUCACGUCUAUACCUUGUCUUUGUCAUUCUUCAUUUCCUGUUUGAUCUGCAUUUUCAUUUUAAAAUACCUGUCCAAUCUUAGCACAGACCCAGGCUUAAAGAUGAUCUUGAGUCAAGAGAAACAUUGUAUGUGUG
ensembl:lncRNA